rnacentral:rRNA from 1 species
CACUAGUGAUUAGAGUUUGAUCCUGGCUCAGAUUGAACGCUGGCGGCAGGCCUAACACAUGCAAGUCGAGCGGAUGAAGGGAGCUUGCUCCCUGAUUUAGCGGCGGACGGGUGAGUAAUGCCUAGGAAUCUGCCUGGUAGUGGGGGAUAACGUUCCGAAAGGAACGCUAAUACCGCAUACGUCCUACGGGAGAAAGCAGGGGACCUUCGGGCCUUGCGCUAUCAGAUGAGCCUAGGUCGGAUUAGCUAGUUGGUGAGGUAAUGGCUCACCAAGGCGACGAUCCGUAACUGGUCUGAGAGGAUGAUCAGUCACACUGGAACUGAGACACGGUCCAGACUCCUACGGGAGGCAGCAGUGGGGAAUAUUGGACAAUGGGCGAAAGCCUGAUCCAGCCAUGCCGCGUGUGUGAAGAAGGUCUUCGGAUUGUAAAGCACUUUAAGUUGGGAGGAAGGGCAGUAAGCUAAUACCUUGCUGUUUUGACGUUACCGACAGAAUAAGCACCGGCUAACUUCGUGCCAGCAGCCGCGGUAAUACGAAGGGUGCAAGCGUUAAUCGGAAUUACUGGGCGUAAAGCGCGCGUAGGUGGUUCGUUAAGUUGGAUGUGAAAGCCCCGGGCUCAACCUGGGAACUGCAUCCAAAACUGGCGAGCUAGAGUACGGUAGAGGGUGGUGGAAUUUCCUGUGUAGCGGUGAAAUGCGUAGAUAUAGGAAGGAACACCAGUGGCGAAGGCGACCACCUGGACUGAUACUGACACUGAGGUGCGAAAGCGUGGGGAGCAAACAGGAUUAGAUACCCUGGUAGUCCACGCCGUAAACGAUGUC